GGCAGCUUCCGACGGCAGGAUGUCUCACAGGAAGUUCUCCGCUCCCAGGCACGGGUCCCUGGGCUUCCUGCCUCGGAAGCGCAGCAGCCGGCACCGCCGGAAGGUGAAGCGCUUCCCCAGGGAUGACUCUUCCAAGCCGUGCACCUCACCGCCUUCCUCGGCUACAAGGCUGGCAUGACCCACAUUGUGAGGGAGGUCGACAGGCCAGGGUCCAAGGUGAACAAGAAGGAGGUUGUGGAGGCUGUGACCAUCGUGGAGACUCCGCCCAUGGUGACUGUGGGCAUCGUGGGCUACGUGGAAACACCCGAGGCCUCCGGACCUUUAAGACCAUCUUUGCUGAGCAUGUCAGUGACGAGUGCAAAAGGCGCUUCUACAAGAACUGGCAUAAAUCUAAGAAGAAGGCCUUCACCAAAUACUGCAAGAAGUGGCAGGACGUAGAUGGCAAGAAGCAACUGGAGAGGGACUUCAGCAGCAUGAAGAAGUACUGUCAGGUCAUCCGUGUCAUUGCCCACAGCCAGAUGCGCCUGCUUCCUCUGUGCCAGAAGAAGGCCCACCUCAUGGAGAUCCAGGUGAACGGAGGCACUGUGGCUGAAAAACUGGACUGGGCCUGCGAGAGGCUUGAGCAGCAGGUCCCUGUGAACCAAGUAUUUGGCCAGGAUGAGAUGACUGAUGUCAUUGGGGUGACCAAGGGCAAAGGCUACAAAGGGGUCACCAGCUGGUGGCUCACCAAGAAGCUGCCCCGUAAGACCCACCGAGGGCUGCGCAAGGUUGCCGGUACUGGGGCGUUGCAUCCCGCCCGGGUGGCCUUCCCUGGGCUCGGGCUGGGCAGAAAGGCUACCAUUACCGCACUGAGAUCAACAAGAAGAUUCACAAGAUCGGUCAGGGCUACCUCAUCAAGGAUGGCAAACUGAUCCAGAACAACACCUCUACUGAUUACGAUCUGUCUGACAAAAGCAUCAACCCUCUGGGCGGCUUUGUCCACUACGGUGAGGUGACCAAUGACUUUGUCACGCUCAAAGGCUGUGUGGUGGGAACCAAGAAGCAGUGCUCACUCUGCGCAAGUCCUUUGCUGGUGCAGACCACACGGCGGGCCCUGGAGAAGACUGACCUCACUUAUUGACACCACCUCCAAAUUUGGUCAUGGUCGCUUCCAGACUGUGGAGGAGAGGAAAACCUUCACGGGACCACUUAAGAAGGACCGAAUUGCCAAGGAAGAAGGGGCCUAAUAGAACAGAUUGUACAGCUGGUAGAAUCUCAAUAAAAUUAUUUUCCAGUG